GACCUUCUUCCACCUCCAUACACAGCCAGAAGAGUAAACACUGUGCCUACUUUACUGUACUUUAUUCGCUGCUUGAGAGUCAUGAUGAGAUAAUGACAAAGUGCUUACUGUGUUAUUAUAUUACAUUAUAUCAUUCUCGUUCUACUUUCAACACUUAGCAUUUAGGCUUUGUCAGUACUGAAACUGAUACAGUAAAGCUCUACUGACUUGAGAACGAAUUGAAACUUAGGACAGAAAAGGGAAAGGACAGAGGAAGGAAUGUGAGGAAUCUGAAUCGUCCGUGCUGUAAACGCAUUCUGGCCGAAGAAUUCAAAGAGGCAGCCAAGAAGCAGAAGAAUGGGAGGCUUGGCGCUGUGUUUGGGUCGCAAGGGAGCCAGGAGCCUAUCCUUGGGAACUCGGUGCACAAGGCAAGGGAGACCCUCAGCAGGGUGCCAAUUCAUCUCAAGGCACAAUCGCACACACAUUCACACAACGGACAAUUUGGAAAUGCCAAUCAGCGUACAACACGUUUUUGGACUGGGGGAGAAAACCCGGAGUACCUGGGGGAAACCCUCGAAGGACGGAGAGAACAUGGAAGCUCCGCACACACAGGGUGGAGCUGAAACGUGCAAACCCGCGAGCCACCAUGCCCCUUCAAUAUAACAAUCACAUAUAAAACGGGGUUCAUGACGAAUACAGAUUGAAUUACUCACUGACCUCAAUUUCCCACUCCAGACUGUGGUAGUGACCCAAUGCCAAAUGUGACCACCUUUUGGACAGCAUGUCAUAUGUGCCAUGUGCCAAGCGAGCUGUUGGCCCAAUUGAGUCAAUCUGCAGUCUGCCAGGCGCCGAAAACACGAGAAAGCAUAAAAGCCUCUCUUUAGCAGCAGGGAGUCGCUAACUGCCUGCGAGGCCUGCUGUCUUCCCCCAGAGUUCAGGCUUUGAAGAGUGCUGUGCAUCACUUAUUCCCUUUCAUGUCUGCACUAUCUUGGGAAGCCACUGCAAGGGAGAUUUCAAAGGGGAGGACCAGAGGAGGGCAAGACUCCAGAGACCGCUCUCGCCCUUCCACUAGGCCUGAAGGAGAAAUUCCAAAAACGCUCAGCAGCAGCAGUACACAUACAGUAUGGUAGAGCAACAAUAGCUGAAUUUAGAACAGACAAAGAGUGUCAGCCAUUUUGUGGGCUUUAAGUGUGCAUUUUAAAACAGAGGAUAAUUACAGUUGAAGGCAAAAGUUGCACCCUGCAAAGUUUCUAGCUGGAAGGAAAAUUGAAUGAAGAAGCAAAAAUCUAAUUAAAUAAUUUUGAAAUGUAAUGUGGGUCUCAUGCAAUCAGGCAAAAUCUACAGAAAAGUAGCAUCCAUCCAUCUGCUAUACUGCUUAUCCUUCAGGGUCACAGGAAUCUUGGAGCCUAUACCAGGGACCAUCGGGCACAAGGUGGGGUACACCCUGGUCAGGGUGCCAAUCCAUCAUAGGGCACAAUCACACACACCCAUUCAUACACUACGGACACUUUGGACAUGCCAAUCAGUCUACCAUGCAUGUCUUUGGACUGGGGGAGGAAACCGGAGUACAUGGAGGAAACCCCACAGCACGGGGAGAACAUCCAAACUCCACACACACAGGACAGCGGCUGGAAUCGAACCCCCAGCCCUGGAGGUGUGAAGUGAACGUGCUAACCACGUUUAGAAAGGGUGAUGAAAACAUUUGAAGUGAUAUAUUUAUUUUCUCACAAUAUAUAAAAACAUAUGCUAUUUAACUAUUUUUGUUGUUAACUAUAAUGUAGGAACAUCUGUAAAGCCUAACAUUUUGCCCAGAACUUAUA
ensembl:lncRNA